rnacentral:lncRNA from 1 species
AUGACAUCAUAAUAGAGAUACAAUCAAAGAUCAUUACGUUUAAUGAAAAUCAUAAGCAUUGACAAAGCACUUACAACUAUGACAUCAUGUUACUCAUGCUAGAAUUAAACUUAACGCGAUCGUUUAUAAGUGACCUCUACUACUUAUGAAUAUAAGUUUGUAACGAUUAUGUGAAACUUUCUUAUAUUCUAGCAUCAGAUUUAUGCAUGCCAAUUAAGUGUCGACCCUUAAUCAACAAA